rnacentral:rRNA from 1 species
CGGUGACGAGCGGCGGACGGGUGAGUAAUGUCUGGGAAACUGCCUGAUGGAGGGGGAUAACUACUGGAAACGGUAGCUAAUACCGCAUAACGUCGCAAGACCAAAGUGGGGGACCUUCGGGCCUCAUGCCAUCAGAUGUGCCCAGAUGGGAUUAGCUGGUAGGUGGGGUAACGGCUCACCUAGGCGACGAUCCCUAGCUGGUCUGAGAGGAUGACCAGCCACACUGGAACUGAGACACGGUCCARACUCCUACGGGAGGCAGCAGUGGGGAAUAUUGCACAAUGGGCGCAAGCCUGAUGCAGCCAUGCCGCGUGUGUGAAGAAGGCCUUCGGGUUGUAAAGCACUUUCAGCGGGGAGGAAGGCGAUMAGGUUAAUAACCUUGUCGAUUGACGUUACCCGCAGAAGAAGCACCGGCUAACUCCGUGCCAGCAGCCGCGGUAAUACGGAGGGUGCAAGCGUUAAUCGGAAUUACUGGGCGUAAAGCGCACGCAGGCGGUCUGUCAAGUCGGAUGUGAAAUCCCCGGGCUCAACCUGGGAACUGCAUUCGAAACUGGCAGGCUAGAGUCUUGUAGAGGGGGGUAGAAUUCCAGGUGUAGCGGUGAAAUGCGUAGAGAUCUGGAGGAAUACCGGUGGCGAAGGCGGCCCCCUGGACAAAGACUGACGCUCA